GUGCCUCAAUCUAUUGAGUAAGGAAAUUAUUGGGCCUUGGUAACUCUUGGCAAUGUCCUAAGGGCGAACCUAUUUUUGCUGGGUACAGGACGUCCCUUUGAGCCGCGCGCCUACUUUGCACGUGGUUCGGGUGAAGCGUUCUGCCUU